ACAUGCGCACACCCUCAUCGGCACGCAUUCCGGUACCCGUCACCUUGGAGCUGGCCAAACUUGGGGAUCCAAAAGCGGUCCUGCUUCCUAGCGCCGUUGGGCUCUGCAGCGUCGUCCCCCACGAACCUCCCUGCCCCCUGCUCCUGAUUCCCUUUCAGGAAUUUACAAACAUUUUUCCCUAGAUCAAUAUCCGUAUUGAUUAUUCAUUGUGAGCGAGUCGUGUGUCUUUGGUGAUCCUGCUUGCAGAGGGUAGCAGCUAAAGGCUGCUGCAGGGGAGAAAAAAUAACAGAAGGUGAGCGGGACCCAGCUCUGGCUGUGGUCUGCGGCUGUCACAUCACACACAGGAAGAAGAGGAGACCUCUCCAGAAGGAAAGGAUGGAGAAGGGUGGAAGAGAAAGAGGGAGCAACAGCAAGAAAUGAUGUGAGGACUGGACAUCUGGUCUUAGGGAUCUCAGUGGCUUGCAGAAAAGCCCCAUCAUCUUGGGUCUGCUGCUAGGUGCAAAACGCUGUGGGUUCCUCUGUUCUGGGAGUGAAAAGUGACUCACGGUUUUGGUGUCUUCCUACGUAAGAGCUUUUGGUGGGGGGAUUCCUUGGCUUGCUGACAGACAAGGAAGGACGCAGCAGCAGUGAGGUAAAAAAAAAAAAAAAAAAUUAAAACAAACCAGGAUUCCCUUCCAACCGCCUCGCUGAGGAUGUGCACCCGUUCGGUUUGAUUUGAACAGCUUGCUGCUCUAAAUUACAUGCGGAAGGAGGAUAAUUAAAAAGGCCAGCAUCACUUACUAAGGGAUUACCGGAAAAGACGGUGAGAUGAUGACAGGAAGACAUCUUGGAUCAGAGCCAAAAAAAAAAAAAAAAAAAAAAAUAAUCAAGGCAAAUCAAGUCUGCAGUUCGGAGAAAACACCUAUGGCUUGGGAAGCUCCGAUGGGAACAUGGGAACUGCUGGAGUUCCUCAGGCGAGUCUGGGAAUAUUGUUGUGGGCACAAGAGGACAAGAUUCAGAGUCAUGGCAUGCCAGCUUACACAGCUAUGCCACACACUGAGAGGGGGGAAAAAAGCCCCAAACCAAACCCAUACCAGUCCCAAACAGCGAAAGCCAACAUAUCCUUUCUUUGGCAUGGGAGCCUGUCUUGCUGGUUCAAAAUCGGUUCGUCUAUUUAAAGCAACUCCAAUCUGUGCUUUCUGCUGGUAGCUGCUCCUUCCUUGUUUGUCUCCAGAAACUGCUUCACCAUCAUGGAGUGACAGUGGGAAGAGGAGGUUGGGGAGACUCGGUUUUCCAUUGGCUGGGCUUCUGGCAAAUGUGCCCUUUGGACCGACAUGUGGGAGCUGGUUUGGGGAUUCCUCUUCUGUUGUCACCCAGCUGUGGCUUGAUGCAAAACUGCUGUGCUGUGCUGAGCUAUGAAGACUGGGGGAUGGUCGUACUCCACUGACAGCUGGGAGAAGCCUCCCACUGCCAUGCCCAGCACCAAGGACUCAAAGAUGACCCCAGUAACAUCCCUGAGCCCU